rnacentral:rRNA from 1 species
AUGGUUAACAUACCCUGGAGACCGGGAUAACUUGCUGAAAGGCGGGCUAAUACCGGAUGGUUUCCCACGGGAAUAAACGGCGGGGCUCCUUCGGGACCUGCUGCUCCAGGAGUGGACCAUGUCCCAUCAGUUAGUUGGUGAGGUAAGAGCUCACCAAGGCAAUGACGGGUAGCUGGUCUGAGAGGAUGGUCAGCCACACUGGGACUGAGACACUGCCCAGACUUCUACGGGAGGCUGCAGUCGAGAAUCAUCCGCAAUGGGCGCAAGCCUGACGGUGCGACGCCGCGUGAAGGAUGAAGGCCUUCGGGUUGUAAACUUCUAACACGGGUUAAGAAACGCCUGGCAUUAAUAGUGUCGGGUUUGACGUAACCCCGAGAUGAAGCACUGGCUAACUCCGUGCCAGCAGCCGCGGUAAUACGGAGAGUGCAAGCGUUACUCGGAAUCACUGGGCUUAAAGGACACGUAGGCGGCCUCGUAAGUCAGUUGUGAAAGCUCUCGGCUCAACCGAGGAACUGCAGCUGAUACUGCGAAGCUAGAGGACGGUAGGGGAGAGCGGAACUCUUGGUGGAGCGGUGAAAUGCGUAGAUAUCAAGGGGAACACCGGUGGCGAAGGCGGCUCUCUGGUCCGUUACUGACGCUGAGGUGUGAAAGCCAGGGUAGCGAACGGGAUUAGAUGCCCCGGUAGUCCUGGCCCUAAACGAUGAGCACUAGGUAGUGGAAGCCCUGCGUUUUCACUGCUGUAGCGAAAGCGUUAAGUGCUCCGCCUGGGGAGUACGGUCGCAAGGCUGAAACUCAAAGGAAUUGACGGGGGCUCACACAAGCGGUGGAGCAUGUGGUUUAAUUCGAGGCAACGCGAAGAACCUUACCCGGGUUUGACAUGCAAGGAUUAGCUUCCUGAAAGGGAAGUGACGCCUUUCGGGGUGGAACUUGCACAGGUGCUGCACGGCUGUCGUCAGCUCGUGCCGUGAGGUGUUGGGUUAAGUCCCGUAACGAGCGAAACCCUUGUCGUUAGUUGCCAGCGGGUAAAGCCGGGGACUCUAACGAGACUGCCGUUGUUAAGACGGAGGAAGGUGGGGACGACGUCAAGUCAUCAUGGCCCUUAUGUCCGGGGCUACACACGUGCUACAAUGGCCGGUACAGAGGGUAGCGAAGUCGAGAGGCGGAGCUAAUCUCAGAAAGCCGGUCCCAGUU